GCAGCUGUGGUGUAAUGGUGAACAUGCCUCCCUCCCAAAAGGCCGAUCGGGUUCGAUUCCCGGCAGCUGCA
rnacentral:tRNA from 1 species